rnacentral:rRNA from 1 species
UCGAACGGUGAAGAGGAGCUUGCUCCUUGGAUCAGUGGCGAACGGGUGAGUAACACGUGAGCAAUCUGCCCUUGACUCUGGGAUAACUGCGGGAAACUGUAGCUAAUACCGGAUAUUACCUUGGAAGGCAUCUUCUGGGGUGGAAAGAAUUUUGGUCAAGGAUGAGCUCGCGGCCUAUCAGCUAGUUGGUGAGGUAAUGGCUCACCAAGGCGACGACGGGUAGCCGGCCUGAGAGGGUGACCGGCCACACUGGGACUGAGACACGGCCCAGACUCCUACGGGAGGCAGCAGUGGGGAAUAUUGCACAAUGGGCGCAAGCCUGAUGCAGCAACGCCGCGUGAGGGACGACGGCCUUCGGGUUGUAAACCUCUUUUAGUAGGGAAGAAGCGACUGGGUUUUCCUGGGAGUGACGGUACCUGCAGAAAAAGCACCGGCUAACUACGUGCCAGCAGCCGCGGUAAUACGUAGGGUGCAAGCGUUGUCCGGAAUUAUUGGGCGUAAAGAGCUCGUAGGCGGUUUGUCGCGUCUGCUGUGAAAACCCGAGGCUCAACCUCGGGCCUGCAGUGGGUACGGGCAGACUAGAGUGCGGUAGGGGAGAUUGGAAUUCCUGGUGUAGCGGUGGAAUGCGCAGAUAUCAGGAGGAACACCAAUGGCGAAGGCAGAUCUCUGGGCCGUAACUGACGCUGAGGAGCGAAAGCAUGGGGAGCGAACAGGAU